CAGUGGGUGAAAUCUGAGCAUGGAAACCAGACUGGAGGCCACUGUGAGUUACUCUAGGCAGGAGCGCAUGAGAGUCAGAACAGGUGGUGACAGCAGGAGGAAAGGAAGGCGGGUUUGGGAUCAGGACAGGCUGCCACAUUGCUCAGCCCAGUGCAGAGGCAUCCACCACCGCGGAAAACAUCCCUGGGCACUGGUGGUAGGAGGCCCACCUCUGGAGUUCAUUGUUCUUAUGUACAUUGUCUUACUGUUUCUAUUUGAAAUUGCUGUAAGCCCACAAAAUGGGUAAGGAGUCAGGACAACUGGCAGCAACUGGUGAGCAUGACCGAGGCGGUGAGAGAGGGGGCCGUCUGCGAGGGCUCUCGGGUGAGACUCUCUACCUGUGGGCUGAGUGUCCACCUCCAACACAAGCUGUAAGCACCCAAAGCACCGAGGGGCCCCGGGGAUCCAGUCACCUGGAGGACGGAGAGCUGGCUGCGGGGGAAGUGGUGAGUACACGCCACUCCAGCAGCACCACGAGGAAGGCGGCAGGAAGCUAAUCGCCAAGCAUGGCUGAUGGCUCAACCAUCUGGAGGAGCGUUUGGGGGAAACAGAACAAUGACAACAAAAUGCUAACGGGUAAGAGGAUGUGGGGUGAGGGGGCUCAAGCUUAAGGGGUUCUUAAAUUGGGGUUAGAAAGAAGUGAAGGCAGACAGAACGUUGGAACAUGCUAAAUUACGUCUCCUGCUGGUGGCGGUGGCAGUGGGAGGGACCCAGAGGUCAGCCAGGAGAAGAAGCCGGUCCAGAGCCCAGAGCACAGGGCUGCCCAUGCCCGAGAGAGGAGCGGGGCUCCCGCCAGGGGUGCUCGGUCGUGUUCCUGGGCUCUCCAGGCACAAGAUCAGCCCUGAACCGCUGGGAUUCCCGCCGCUGUGACAGACCUGCUACUCGCUGCGUUUCCUCCGCGAGAUUCUGGAACAUCUGGCUGCUCUGAGUGCUGGGAUGGCUUAAGGGGAGCUGGAAACAUUUUAAAUCUUGAAAGACCGCCAAGCCCACUCCCAAGUGCUGCGGGCUGUGGGCUGACACGAAAUUUGUCAGGCUGAUUUCAACUGUGGAAGCUAACUCAGUAAGUCCAGCUCCAAAUGUUUACCUGGAGACGUCUAUCACCCGAACCUGCUGUCUGCACUCACUCCAGAUUGGACGACCUCCAGACAGUCCUUUGACUUCACGCUGCAGACCCUCAGCUCGAGGGAUUCAUUUCUAGAAGAAGUUAAAAAUUCAACCGUGGUUUCACUAUAGUCGAGUUAAUGAGGAACCUUCCCAAGGUUAACACCGAAUUCUGCCCUGUGGCCUUAUGGAAAGAACGCCACCCCUCCAAGAGGCUUGAGUGGAGGAGAGCGCUAUUGGAAAUCACAGUGUUUUAGAAGACAGAGGAAUUACAUUCACAAGUUGUCAUUUGUAUGCAGAAACUAGAACAGCUCUCAAAGACACCCUGUGAAGUAUUUGCGUGACUUGAGCCCACCUUCCAUCUGAAGGAUCCUUGUGCAAACUCUGGCACCACCUAGCACUUGGCAGACUUUUUGUCCUGCACUUGGCAAAACCGUUUUUGGUCAUCUCCCUGGGUGAACGUUAGUGAGAAUGCUAAGAGUCCAUCUGGAUGAGCUGGGUCUCUGUGUGCUGUCCCGCCCCCCCAACACAGGUUUCCUCCCUUCUCCCCCCAGUGCAAGCAUAUCCCAGCAUUUCACUACUGAACUUUGUCAGAAGCUUUUUCUGCAUCUACUGAGAUGACCACACGGCUUUUCUUCUCCAGUUUGUUCACGUGGUGCAUCACAUUGACUGCUUUGCAGAUGCUGAAAAGUCCUUGCAUUCCUGGGAUAAAUGCUACCUGAUCGUGGUGUGUGAUCCUGUCAGUGCAUUGCUGGGUUGAUUCGCUAGUAUUUCGUUGAGGAUAUCUGCAUCUAUAUUCAUAAGUAAUACUGGCCUGUAAUUUCCUUUUUUGGUGAUAUAUGUGUCUGGUUUUGGUAUCAGGGUGACGGCGGCCUCAUAGAAUGAGUUCGAAGUGUUCCUUCCUCUGCAGUUUGUUGGAGCAGUUUCAGGAUAGGUGCAGGUUCCAGUAUGAACGCUGCUCCUUGAGGUUAUGAGUUUACUGCUGGCUGUUCCUUCACAACUAAGAGCAAGACGUGACAGAUCUCUCGGAACCUCUUCUCAGUGGGCAGGACUUGGAAGCCAAUCAGCCCGGGGAGCUGGGGGCCCCCAGGUCCCUUGUCUCAGGGUUUCCCUGAGGCUGUUGGUUUCUCCAGAGAUGAGGCCCCGUGUCCCAGCCGGAAGGGACGCCAGGGUCCCCACCGGGGGAGGAGUGCAGCAUCUCCCAAUCCACCGGGGAGUUGCUCUCAGUUCUCCUGGGUUCUUCAACCUCUGUGGAGCCUGGUGAGCGUGGGUCCCGUGUGUUCGUGGGGGAAGAACACUGGUGUCCUUGUGGGGAAGGGGCUGGUGGCGCAGAGCAGGGGAGCAGAGAACCCGGGGUCCAGCCAUGACUGCCCCCCAGCUGCUCCUCCUGUCAGGAGCCCAGCCUUCCUCCUGGCCCGCACCUCCUCAUCCGAGGUCCUCCCAGAGCCCCGGGGGGACAGGGGUGGGGGGGCAGCCUGAGCUCAGCAGCCGCCCGCCCCUCAGCACGUCUGGUCCUGCUCCCUCCGUCCCGGGAGGCCCAGCACGUCUCCACCACCCACUGCUCUGCGCUCACUGCCCUGAUGAGGACCAGAGGACACCCUUGCUCUUGUAGACACUGGGGAGUUUACCCGACGCCAGCCUGAUGCUGGGUCUGCGGGGAAGUCAAGACACAGGACAAACAAAACCUUAGAGAGAUUGAGCUGUGGCUGGUGUGAAUGGAGAACAAUCAAUGCACCUGCCGAUCACUUCUCGUAACAGCAGCAUCCGAGGAAACAGGUCGCUCCCAGGGCCCAGAAGAAGCGAGGCGCGUGGAGUCCACAUGGCUGCAGGCAGCGGUCAGGGAUCCAGCCCUCUGCUCCAAAGCCGGCGCUGCAUUCUGCACACCGGGCUCCCCGGAGGGGCUGGGUGCACAGUGAGAGGCUGGACACUCAGCGACAGGCCACAGGAGAGGACUCAUUCCACCUGGAGCGGCGGUGACCGCUGACUCAGGCCGGGGGGUAUGUCACAUCACGCCAAGCAAGGGAAGCAGAGACAUUUGGCACAGAAAAAUAGAGUUAGCAGAAAGAGCACAGAGACUUAAAAUGCACGGAGUCUCCACAAGACCAAUCAUGUGUGGAUUUCUGCUCAAAGCAGAGCCUGAAUUGAUGCUGGUGGACUGGCCAGAGCCAGUCCUGAAAGCCCCCAGAGCAUGAAGAUUAGCAUCCUGGUCCCAGCUUGGUGGCUCGUUUCUUCAGGCAGAAUUGUGAUCAGAGCUGGGCUUUAUGAAAAACGAUAUCCAUGGCCACAGGGAGAGCAGCUGGAAGGGGAGAAGCGGGCGGGAAGAGGGGCAGAGAGAGAAGGCACUGCCAGGCCCCAGAUGGACAGAGGGACGCCGGGAGGGCUGUCUGUCUCAGGGGGCUGAGGAAGGAGCUGGUGGUACAGACGACCAUUCCUGGAUCAUCAGGAGCUUGGCACCAGGGAAACACAAGUGGUCAUUUUCAUUUCGCUUGUUCACCACAGUCAGCAUUCUCAAAACACUGGAUCUCGCUGUUCGGCAGGAACCAUAAACUGGUGUUUCCAUUUUCCCCAAGAGAGAGUCCUGGAAGAUCUGUGUGUCUACAUGCAACCAGAUAUCUGUGUCGUAUAGAAGUAUCUGUUAGAAUUAAUUCUUCUAACUCAGAAUACAAAGUGAAUCCGUUCUCAACACUGACGGUGAAAAACGCCCAUCAACAAGCACAAACUGCUGCGUAGUGAUGACCCGUCCCAGCCGCCCAGGGACGUCCAGCACGGGUGCUCCUGACUGCGCAGCGUUGGCGCCUUGAAACCCUAACAUACAGACGUCAUCUUAUGCUUCUUAGAAUAUAUAUACAACAGAAAUGAAUGUGCAUGUGUACUUUUAUCAGACUCUUGUUUAACUCCGUGAGAACGUAAGACGACCUAAUCUCUCACCCAAACCUCCAGUUGGACUUCAGUGCGUAGGGGCGCUGAUGGGAAGACGGUACCACUCAGGGUUGAGACCUCCCGGGACAGUGUGAGGGCAGAGGGGGAGACACGGAGCAGAAGCCAAGAAAGAGGAGAGUGUGCCAAGUACGAAAAAGGUGCGUUUGUAGAAAUACGUAUCCAGGCACCUGCCCUUUCAGAACUGUUUUCACAAGACGUGGUUUUGACUUUGUAAACUAUAUUUUAGAAAGUUAUUCCUAAGCUGUAUACCCAACACCCUGACUCCUGAGUACCGUACUGUAACGUGCAGGUCAGUACCAGAAACUUAAGGUCACACGAUGUGGUGAACAUGAUGGAAAUGUUUAAACAUCAUCAACGCUGCUUAAACUAGACGGCACACUCCGCUCACUUGGCGUCAAAUGGAAUCUCUCUCUUCCUACCUCCUGUCAACAAAAUCUCAACUCUGAACCCGUGAAACCCUAAGAAAAGGUCUGAGGGUGUUUUCUUAGGAAAGUACGUUGACCUGUGUUGAAGAGGGGCGGUAGUUUCCUGUUACGCUUUUUACUGUGUUUCUGAAUUACUUUCUUAAAUUGGAGUACUGUUGAUUUACAGUGUUGUGCUAGUGUCUGGUGUACGGCACAGUGAUGUAAUUUUACGAAGAUUUUUGUUCCAUUCUGGUUUAUUACAAGGCAUUGAAUACAGUUGCCUGUGCUGUACAGUAGGACCUUGUUUAUCUAUUUUGUAUAUAGUAGUUUGUAUCUGCUAAUCCCAAACUCCCAAUUUAUAAAGACUUUCAUUAAAUAUAUAAAAGUUCUCCGUUGUAAAAUAAAUUGUGCACCCAGCAUCCCAGGGGGUCUUUGUGACCACAGGCCACGAUGGUGCCCAGUGCUCGAGCCCCGGAGGGGCUUCCCAGCUCCUCGGAGGACCCCCUGACGUCGGAGUGGGCCUGGCCCGCACAGACGGCCGGGCGUCCUCCUUUCAGUCACCCCCGUCACUGGACACCGACCUAGACAAGCCUUUCUGAGGCUGUGACCCGUCCAGACAAGGCGGGUCCACGGUCCCGUGACCUGUUGGAACAGCCGCGGCUCAACCACAAGUGGCCACACACCCCCCUCUCCUGGCCAGGACGGGUCACUGCAGCUUCUGCGUACGCCCAGCUUCAGCCUUGCCUGUGUCGCAGAAACCGGGCGCGAUCCGGUCAGUCAUCCAGCUGUGAGAUCGCCUGCUUCCUGGCGGCAUCGGCACUUUCGGAUGUUGGAGUCAAUCCAGCUAAACAAAAAACUUUCAGUGGCACAAUGUAAAAAGGGAAAGAUACUAAAGGAGUCACGGUCAUAAUGUAUAUUCGUAUAUGUACACAUAUAAUACAUAGAGUGCUUUUCUGUCACUUACCCACACAAAAAUGAUAUGGAAAUGUCAGAAAAACAAUUAUCUUUAAAAAAAUACAUCAGAAUGAUUAAGGGGAUAGAAGCAGGUGAUGGCGAGAAUGAUUAUGGGUCCCAAGUUCUCUGACUCAACCUUGAUUUAAAUCAUAGUUGAAACUGAGAAUCACAAGUUUCUCACCAAGUGAGAAAACCCUGAAAAGUGUGCUUUAGCAACACAAAGAGGUGGGUGGACCGACAGUUUUUUGUUUAGAAAGAAAAGAAAGACGACUGUUGAAUAUUUGCCCAGUAUUAUAUUAAAAAAAACAGGCUUUUGUAUGUCUGUGUAUCUCUUCCCACCUGUCAGUUUAUUAAAAGGACAAAAACUUAUCAAUAAAAAUGAAAGGUUCACCUUAGUCAUUUCAGGGAUCUGUAACCUUAAGAUUCUGAUUGUUACAAGAAACUACAUUUUAAGCACAUUGGUUGUAGAAAGUUGUAUUUGGUUAAAGUUAUAAACAGUCUUUUUGACAGGAGGCUGAUUUCCAUUAACUGCCUUGUCACAAUGAACUAUGAAAACCUCAAAGAUUUUGCUUCGAGUAGGCUGUUAACUGUUAACAUGGACAGUGUGUUUUCUUAUGAGCUACAAGCAUUUAAAAAUCCUCAUUCCUCCUCACAGAAGUUACGAUGCAAGUAAAAUAUGUAAGUACUUCAGCAAAUUGACUUUGAUACACCAUGAAAAAGUUCUGAUCUUUGACAAACUGAAAGACAACAAAAUCUAGGGGUGCGCAAUCUCAAACCUAAAUCUCAGCUUGUUCAACCCACCCUCCCUCCCUAACAGGUGUGCUGGGACGCACCUGGAGGCUCUGGGUUUCAGCCAGGUGUGUAGGAAAUGACCGGGGGCGGGGUCAGGGACGGCGGCGCCCUGACCAGGCCUGGCACCCUCGCUGGGCACGGCUGGGGACAGUCUGAACUGGAGCGACCGAGCCCCACGAGGGCACCAGCGGGGAGGAAACCGAGUCACUCACCCUGAAGCAGGCGGGUUGGGCCUAGGGCUGCCCAAGCGCAGGGCUCACGCUGGAAGAGAAGGGCGCUGUCACACAAGGGUAGAAUUGAACCCAUCACAGCUAACACGUCUCAGGUCAUUUCCGGAACGGUCUGCAGAAAUUCUGCGUUUCCAGAUGAGGCUGAGUUCUUAGCAGGUUAUUUACGA